rnacentral:rRNA from 1 species
AACGAACGCUGGCGGCAUGCCUAACACAUGCAAGUCGAACGAGACCUUCGGGUCUAUUGGCGCACGGGUGCGUAACGCGUGGGAACCUGCCCUUAGGUUCGGAAUAACUCCCCGAAAGGGGUGCUAAUACCGGAUAAUGUCUUCGGACCAAAGAUUUAUCGCCUUUGGAUGGGCCCGCGUUGGAUUAGCUAGUUGGUAGGGUAAAAGCCUACCAAGGCGACGAUCCAUAGCUGGUCUGAGAGGAUGAUCAGCCACACUGGGACUGAGACACGGCCCAGACUCCUACGGGAGGCAGCAGUGGGGAAUAUUGGACAAUGGGCGAAAGCCUGAUCCAGCAAUGCCGCGUGAGUGAUGAAGGCCUUAGGGUUGUAAAGCUCUUUUACCCGGGAUGAUAAUGACAGUACCGGGAGAAUAAGCUCCGGCUAACUCCGUG